CAAACUUGGACAGAAGCUUGUUUAUGAUCAUAAGAAAGUAUCCAGAAGUAAAUUUUGUAAAAAUAAAUUUCCACUUUUCCAUAUUUUACUUAUAAAUGGACUUAGUUUUUCUGCGAGGAAAAAUUACAUUCACUCUGUGGUUAAAGUUUUUAAAAUUUUAAUAACUUUCAUAAACUAUCCUUGAUUUGUACCAAACUUGGACAGAAGCUUGUUUAUGAUCAUAAGAUAGUAUCAAGAAGAAAAUUUUGUAAAAAUAAAUUUCCACUUUUCCGUAUUUUACUUAUAAAUGGACUUAGUUUUUUUGCCAGAAACAAAACAUUCACUCUGUGGUUUAAGUUUUUAAAAUUUUUACAAUGUUCUUAAACUAUCCUGGAUUUCUACCAAACUUAGACAAAAGCUUGUUUCUGAUCAUAAGAUAUUAUUCAGAAGUCAAUUUUGUAAAAAAAAAAAAUCACUUUUUCCGUAUUUUACUUAUAAAUGGACUUAGUUUUUCUUCCAG
rnacentral:lncRNA from 1 species